AGCUCGUCGUCAAACCAGUUCGAACACAUGUACGUGGUGUACUUGAAGAAUGGAUUUCACAUUGCGAGUCCGCAACCGCUGUUCGAAUUUGUUCAUCCGAAUUGGAGUGAAACCAUUGACAAUUCACGGUUUGCCAGUGUUUCAUUUGAGACGCCAGUUGAUUGUGUCGUAAAUGAAUUCGCUGGAUAUUUUGACGCUGUUCUAUACAAGGACGUCAUGCUGAGCAUUCAUCCCGUAACGCACUCUAAGGGUUUAGCCUCAUGGUUUCCGGUCUAUUUCCCGAUAACGGAACCAUCUUUG